ensembl:lncRNA
UAAUUAUGAAAGUUUAUAUUCAUUUAAUGACUGUGAAUCUGAACACACCGAAAGAUUAGUUUUUCAUAACAUAAAAAAUAUUUUAUACAAUUUUUCAGACACAAUAAAUCAAAUUGAAUUAUUAUAUCCAAAAAAUUAUUACAUUACUAUUUUCCCUAAUAUUUAUUUUAAGAACAUAAUUGACUUUUUAAAAAGUGAACAUUUUAAAUUAAUAAAAAUUGUUAUAGUACUAAAAGGUAAAAAUUAUAUUGAUGAAGAUAUGAUUAACUAUAUUAAAAACAAUCUAGAGAAUUUUAAAGGAAUCACAACUGAAAAUGUUAAAAAGGAUGUGCAAAAAAGGUACAAUAAUAUGUUCAACCAAAACAGUAACGGUACCAAAUAUAAUAAUAGAGACAAUAACAUGUAUAACAGUACAAGUGAAAAUAAACGGGAUACAAAAACUGUAUUAUCUGCUCUAAAAAAAUGUUACAAAAAUGGAAAUAAGUAUGUGUCUUCAAUUGAUCGACUCACUGGUGGAAAUACAAUUAGUGAAAUUAAAUCCAAAAUUCAAAACAAACAGGACGGACAUAACGGGCAGAACAAACAGAACGAACGAAACGAUAAAAACAAAUGUAAUAUUCCAAACAAAAAUGAAUGUCCAAAAAAACUAAAAAUAUGUGACAACUUUGCCAGUGUUCAUAAUAUUAGUAGUAUAGAACAAGGCGAGUUGGUAAAACAGUCGAGCGAAGAAAGCAUAAAAGUAAAUAUGUUAGGAACACACCAAACUAGUUUUAACUAUGAGUGUGGUGAAUGGGAAGGUAUCACUACGGAUAAUAAAGUCAGUGAUGCGCAGAUUGUCACCCACAAAAAGCCAAACAAUCACGACAAACCAGACCUACAUGGAAAAAUUAACGAAAAUGUACCAAUCAAUAAACUUAAAAAAAUCGAAUUUGUUGACAUGAUUAUAAAAGAAAAUAAAUUUAAGAAUGUUAAUAAAAUUGAAAAGGUAAAUAAAAUAGUUACUUUUGAUAUGCUUGAUCAGGUUAUAAAUGGAAAGGAAUUUGGUUGUGGAAACACAUAUGAGAACACUGCUAACAUAAAAAGUGAAGUAAUCAAAAAUAAUAAUAAACAUGAUGACUAUCAUUAUGAUGAUAGUUACUAUUAUGAUAACCCGUCACUUGAAUUAAAAAACAGCAUUGAUAACAUUGCUCACAUAUGUAAUACGGAUACAUCAUUAUAUAAAAAAUAUUAUGAAGAUAGCAAUAUUAUGCAAGAAAAAAGACAGUUACCUAUUAUAGAUGUCCAGAAAAAAGAAUGUGUUAAAACUAAUAGCGUUAAUAUUAAUAAAAAUAGAAGUAGUAACAAUAGCAGUAAUAACAACAACCAUAGUAGCAGUAACAAUUACAAUAACAGCAGUAACCACGUGGAUCAGUUUUCUGAAUCUUCUUAUGGAGAAAAUGAUGAGUCAGAUGACGAAAAUGUAGAUGGUUUUUUCAAAACAAAAAAAUUAAAGGAUACAGUAUAUGAUAAUAAUAAUUUUUCUUUUACCAAUUUUAUGAAUAAACUAAUAAAUUAUGAAAAAAUAAUUAAUUACAUAAACCAUGAUCAGCAACGGCAAGAAAACGAGCAAUCGAAAAUAAAAUUUUAUAUUAAAGUAUUAGUUUUUGAGAAAUCGAACACACCACCUUAUGAUGAUAGUAGUAAUAAUAUAUAUAGAACUGGUUCUGCUGCCACUACUACACCCACUACUACAUCUGGUACUGAUACCACUACUAACAUAAUGCAAAGUAUCACAACACUUACUGGUGAUCAUAUAUCAAAUACAAUCAAUACCAAUGAUGGGCCUAUUGUGCAGGAUAAUGUUAGUACCAUAAACGUAAAUGAUGAUGAAACAAGAGGAAUUAAUAAUAAUAAUAAUAAUAAUGAAUCUAGUCAAGGAAAUGAAUACCAAGGUCUUAUUACAUCAUUGUUUUAUGGUAACAUAGUUAGCAAUAUUACUAACAGUAUUAAUGGUACUAGUACUGGUAAUAGUGCCGAAAAUGACUCCAAUCGUAGGUACAGUUUUUUUUCCAGUGAAUUAAACCAUGAUGACACACGUCCAAAUAAUAUACAACAAGACAACUCUGCAUAUGUAGGAACAAGUACUAACGAAGAGAAUACAUCUUACUAUAUUAGUAAUUUAAUUAGAAAUAUUAAAGAGACAUAUGAUAAUACAAAUUUUUUAUCAUUUGCUAGUUAUGAAGAAGAUCAAGAAGACCAAGAAGACCAAGAAGACCAAGAAGGACAAGAAAAACAAGAAGAGCAUGAAGAACAAGACCAAGAAAAAAUACAUGGUUUGGACUUUGAUAACGUAGAAGAUUCAGUAACUUAUGUGACAUUCAAUUUUAAUUAGUUAUGUUUACCCGCGUUCGUUUGUUUACAUGCAUUCGUUUGUUUAUACCCUUUCGUUUAUUGCAUACGUCCGCUUGGAUAUUAAUAAAAAAAAAAAAAAAUAAUCUUACCA